rnacentral:ncRNA from 1 species
GUGAUAGAGGCGCGGACUUUAUCAGUAGCCUGCACACGCGCGCGGAAACGCCGCAGGCAAAAGGAAAGCCCGCCGAAGCAGCCGCCCUGUUUUCCGGCAGACGUCUGCUGGGACAGCGCAGAACAUGCGCUGUACUGUCGCUUUUGCGGGGUGCUAUUCG